rnacentral:rRNA from 1 species
ACUUGCUCCCUGAUGUUAGCGGCGGACGGGUGAGUAACACGUGGGUAACCUGCCUGUAAGACUGGGAUAACUCCGGGAAACCGGGGCUAAUACCGGAUGGUUGUUUGAACCGCAUGGUUCAGACAUAAAAGGUGGCUUCGGCUACCACUUACAGAUGGACCCGCGGCGCAUUAUCUAGUUGGUGAGGUAACGGCUCACCAAGGCGACGAUGCGUAGCCGACCUGAGAGGGUGAUCGGCCACACUGGGACUGAGACACGGCCCAGACUCCUACGGGAGGCAGCAGUAGGGAAUCUUCCGCAAUGGACGAAAGUCUGACGGAGCAACGCCGCGUGAGUGAUGAAGGUUUUCGGAUCGUAAAGCUCUGUUGUUAGGGAAGAACAAGUGCCGUUCAAAUAGGGCGGCACCUUGACGGUACCUAACCAGAAAGCCACGGCUAACUACGUGCCAGCAGCCGCGGUAAUACGUAGGUGGCAAGCGUUGUCCGGAAUUAUUGGGCGUAAAGGGCUCGCAGGCGGUUUCUUAAGUCUGAUGUGAAAGCCCCCGGCUCAACCGGGGAGGGUCAUUGGAAACUGGGGAACUUGAGUGCAGAAGAGGAGAGUGGAAUUCCACGUGUAGCGGUGAAAUGCGUAGAGAUGUGGAGGAACACCAGUGGCGAAGGCGACUCUCUGGUCUGUAACUGACGCUGAGGAGCGAAAGCGUGGGGAGCGAACAGGAUUAGAUACCCUGGUAGUCCACGCCGUAAACGAUGAGUGCUAAGUGUUAGGGGGUUUCCGCCCCUUAGUGCUGCAGCUAACGCAUUAAGCACUCCGCCUGGGGAGUACGGUCGCAAGACUGAAACUCAAGGAAUUGACGGGGGCCCGCACAAGCGGNGGAGCAUGUGGUUUAAUUCGAAGCAACGCGAAGAACCUUACCAGGUCUUGACAUCCUCUGACAAUCCUA